AGAGAAAAUUGAUAUAAGUGUUGUCUAAACACUCUUAAUCUAUCUCUAACUCUUAUAAUUAGUCAAAUGCAUUAGAUUGUGACAAAUUUUUACAAUAGAAACACAAACAAACCUAUUUACUGCUUCUAAGCAAAUUUUUGUUGGUUUUAACCUCUUUUGAGAGAAACUUAGUAUAAGUGUUGUCUAAACACUCCAAAUCCAUCUCUAACUCUUAUAAUUAGUCAAAGGCUUUGGAUUGUGACCAUAGAAACACUAACAAAGCUAUUUACUGCUUGUAAGCAAUUUGUUGGUGGUUUUAGUCUCUUUUAGGAGAAAAUGGGUAUAAGUGUUGUCUAAACACUUCUAAUUCAUCUCUAACUCUUAUAAUUAGUCAAAGGCUUUGGAUUGUGACACAUUUUGACCAUAAAAACACUAACAAAACUAUUUACUGCUUCUAAGCAAUUUUUUUGUUGGUUUUAGCCGCUUUUGGAAGAAAAUAGGUAUAAGUGUUGUCUAAACACUU
rnacentral:sRNA from 1 species